CCGAACAGAAGACGAGGGAAACACCGGAUGCGGACUCCGCCUCCUCCUCUUCUGGGGCGGAGCGCUCUCGAUGCCUCUGCCGCCCUACCUCUGUCGCUGACGUCCUCUCCUUUCAUUUCUUUGCGGAUUAUUUGGUCUGCUUCUCGUUUGAUUCACGUGGACUGCGACGCAGGCGUCUGCAUCUGCUCUUGAAUGCGUUGGUCGAUGCGUCUCAAGCUCCCAAUUCGAUCUCUCAGCCAAAGUGGUCUCACUGAUGGGAAUUGUUCUUGGAGAAAACUAUACAUGGAAUUGAUUCGUUCUGGUGUAAAGCCAAAUACAAGCAGUUGGAUAUCAUGCAGAGGACUGAAGACUGUUGAAGCCUACUUUGAAGAAAGUUAAUGCACGACGACACACAAUUUGGUUUGUGUACAGUGUUGCCACAGAGAAGGAACUCUACAUCACCUAUACACACAAAUUAUAUGCCAUGUUGGUUAAAUUUUUCCUUCGGAUGCAAGGAUCACCAUGUUGAAUUGAGUUGAUUGCAGAUGCCAAGGAGAAGAUGGAGCUGAUCACUCUAACCCUGGGAAGUUACUUUUGGAUGGUGAGUGGGAAAUCACCACAACCCAGCUUGAUCUUCUUCCAGCUCAUGCGCUGAAACUUAGGCAAGUAAGUCCUGGAAUGGUCCACCGAGAAGAAUCUCUCACACUUGUAUGCAGGCCACAUGAAGCCAAACUGGAGCAGGUGAGGAACAGUAGCAUGUUUUUGCACUGACAUAGCAGAUCCUUCAUUGAUGAUCUUAUUGAAGUUUCUACUGUUCAUCAUGGAACCAGAAAUCCAUGCUUUUUCUUCCACCACUUGCUUCGAACACAGACCUUCUCCAAAAGCACCAGGAAGAUCACAUCAUCUCAUGUCCUAUUCACUCAUCCUGUUACUCUCCUUGGCAGCUGCAGCAGUACUGUCACACCUCUGGCAUCGGACUCCUUCAAGAGCAGCGAUUGAAAGAUCAUCAUAAAACGUCACAAGUGAACACACAGUCAACUGAAUCGUGGCCUUCUUGAUCAUUCCUUACAGUGGUCAAGGAAAGCAGAAUGCAGUAUCAUCAGUGUCUGUGCUGUCUCCUAAUCUUCCACGGCCAUUUGUCUCACCAAACUGUAUAUAUGAUCGACUGAAAAGGGCAAGCAUUGAUCAUUUGGGUGCAGUAGCAUCAGUAUCCGUGCCCUAAUUAUGAUGCAGGAGCCUGUCUCUGCACUCCUAAUGGUUUCAUGGCAUCCUAGGGGAACAAAUGGCUCAGUGAACUGCAUACAGUUAUUUGGCAAGGAAACUUCUUGAUCGUUCUUCAUCAGUGUCAUCUGUGCUCUUAAGUAUGAUGCAGGAGACUCUGCACUCAAUGUUCUUCCAAGGCACCAGAGGAGAACAAUGGCUCAGUAAACUGCACAAGACUCAGCUUAUAGAUCAUUCUUCAUCAGUGUCAUCUGUGCUCCAAGUAUGAUGUAGGAGACUGUGUCUGCACGCCUAAUCUUUCAUGGCAUCCGAGGAGAACAAAUCAGUGAACUGCAUAUAGUCAACCGACAAGGGAAGUUCUUGAUCAUUCUGCAUCAGUGACAUCUGUGCUGCUCUAAGUAUGAUGCAGGAGACUGUGUCUGCACUCCUAAUCUCUCAUGGCCUUCCAGAGAACAAAUGGCUCGGUAAACUGCAAGCAGUCAAACUGAUAAAAGCAACCUCUUGAUCAUUGUUCACAUUGACUCUGCUGCUGCUUUCCUAAUCUCAAGGCCUAAUCUCUGAGGAGGAGAACAGGGCAUGGCUCAGAAAACCAAAACAUCAAGAACAAGAGAGGAAGAGGUAAGAGAAUAAAACAAAAGGGGGAAGGGGGAGAAUUAAAUGCUCGGGAGACCCGCAUGCAGAGGUGCAGCUGUCACGUAAUGAUGGUGGUGGGUUGACAACUUUAAACCAGCAGCCCCCGUUUCUGCAGAGAGAGAGAGGAGAGAGGACGAGCCUUUGGGUUGGCGAAGGACUUCAUUGCCAGUCUUUGUUUGCUGUAAAAUAUUUGCUAAUGUACUUUACAGAUGGCCACCAGAUUUUUGUGUUCUAAGUCCAAGUAUUAAAUGCAUAUUCUGUGAAUUAGCAUCA